CUGACACGAUGUUAGGCCUGUGAACCCGCUGAAUUUAAGCAUAUUAGUAGGCGGCGGAAGAUAACCCAAAAGGGAUUCCUUCAGUAAUGGCGAAUGAACGGGGAAAAGCUCAGCAAAGAAAUCAGGGACCCCGGCCUUGAGUUGUGGACUUGAGAGGUAUUGCCAAUGGUGGCGCAGGUGCGGGCCUCUUGGAAAAGGGCACCACAGAGGGUGUGAGUCCUGUUUGUCAUCUGUAGUCCGCCAUGUACGGCAUGAUUCCUCAGAGUCACGUUCCUUGGAAUUGGAGCGCGAAGGUGGUGGUGGCUUUCAUCUCAAGCUAAGUAUGGGUUCGAGACCGAUAGCAAACAAGUACCAUGAGGGAAGAUUGAAAAGAGCUUUGGAAAGAGAGUUAAAAGUGCCCGAACUUGCUGAUAGGGAAGCGAAGGGAGCUGACGUUGCUUGGUGACAUAUUCCGCGCAAGAGUAGGAUGGGUUCUGAUUGCAAUCUGCGUAGUGCUUCUUGCCGUGCGUGUCGAUGCCAAGCAAUGAGUGGGGAGAGCACCAGGGAUAAUGAUUGUUUCUGUCCCCGGGUGGACGAAGGUGCCUGGUCGCAUCCAUUUGUGGGCUGAAACAAAUGGUGGCUGGUUGCAGCGCCCUGUGCCUGCUAGGCAGUUGGGGUGCAGCCCUGAUACGCAGACGAGGACAAAGUGCUUCUGUUCGACCCGUCUUA
rnacentral:rRNA from 1 species